GGAAACGUUCUGACGCUAAGUGGUUGACCUAAAAGGAGAUUCGGCCUGACUCGAAACCAGGCGUACGGUACGGUAACCCCGUACCGGGGGUUCGAAUCCCCCCCUCUCCGCCA
rnacentral:tRNA from 1 species